rnacentral:lncRNA from 1 species
CAGAAGAGACAAUAAAGGAUUACUUUGAAGCUCGCCUUGCUCUGCUAGAACCAGUUUUUCCAAUCGCAUGUCAUCGACUCUGUGAGGGUCCAGAUUUUUCAACAGAUUUCAAUUACAAACCCCCACAGAACAUACCAGAAGGCUCUGGCAUCCUGCUGUUUAUCUUCCAUGCAAACUUUUUGGGUAAAGAAGUUAUUGCUCGGCUCUGUGGACCGUGUAGUGUACAAGCUGUAGUUCUGAAUGAUAAAUUUCAGCUUCCUGUUUUUCUGACAGGGUCUCGCUCUGUUGUCCAGGCUGGAGUGCAGUGGCGCGGAUUACAGCUCACUGGAGUCUUGACUUCCCAGGCACAAGCAAUCCUCCCACCUCAGCCUCCUAACUACCUGGGACUAAAAAUGACAGUCAUUUUGUUUACUCAUUCAGCCCUGUUGCAGGUCCCAAUAAACUCUUCAUAAGGUUGACAGAAGCACCCUCUGCCAAGGUUAAGUUGCUAAUAGGUGCAUACAGAGUGCAGCUGCAGUGACCAAACAGAAGGGACUGGGCGGAGUUCUCUUCAGACCGAUUCCUAUACUCUCUUUGACAGCAGUUUGGAAUUCUUCUAGCACAUCUAUGUAAAGUUUUGUCUGUAAACCUCUUGCAGUUAAGCCUGUUGUCUGUUGUAGUCUGUAAGAUGCGACAUAGCUGUGUCUGUGCCAGUAUGCCGGAAUCUCAGUGCAGUGU